rnacentral:rRNA from 1 species
CUUGAACGCUGGCGGCAGGCCUAACACAUGCAAGUCGAGCGGAGCGGCGGACGGGGGGGUAACUACAAGGAAUCUGCCUGGUAGUGGGGGAGAACGUCCGGAAACGGGCGCUAAUACCGCAUACUAUUUGAUGAGCCUAGGGCGGAUUAGCUAGUUGGUGGGGUAAAGGCAUACCAAGGCGACGAUCCGUACCUGGUCUGAGAGGAUGAUCAGUCACACUGGAACUGAGACACGGUCCAGACUCCUACGGGAGGCAGCAGUGGGUAAUAUUGGACAAUGGGCGAAAUCCUGAUCCAGCCAUGCCGCGUGUGUGAUGAAGGUCUUCGGAUUGUAAAGCUCUUUAAGUUGGGAGGCGUUCCCUACAGCCUCUGCCCCGGCUAACUUCGUGCCAGCAGCCGCGGUAAUAC